UACAGAGGGGGCAAGCGUUGUUCGGAAUUACUGGGCGUAAAGGGCGCGUAGGCGGCCUUCUAAGUCGAACGUGAAAUCCCCGGGCUCAACCCGGGAACUGCGUCCGAUACUGGAAGGCUUGAAUCCGGGAGAGGGAUGUGGAAUUCCAGGUGUAGCGGUGAAAUGCGUAGAUAUCUGGAGGAACACCUGCGGCGAAGGCGGGUAGCUGGGCCGACACUGACGCUGAGGCGCGAAAGCCAGGGGAGCGAACGGG
rnacentral:rRNA from 1 species